rnacentral:rRNA from 1 species
GAUGAACGCUGGCGGAAGGCUUACCACAUGCGAGUGGAACGGGAAGUGUUUUUUCCGGGGGGGAAGGGGGGAGUAACGGGUAAGAACUUGCCUUUGGGGGGGGAACACAAACUGGAAAGGGUUGUUAAUACCCGGUAGGUUGGGGGGAAAAGGGGGAAAUCCGCCCAAGGGGGGGCUCGCGUCUGAUUAGCUAGUUGGGGAGGUAAUAGCUUACCAAGGCGUUGAUCAGUAGCUGGUCCGAGGGGAUGAUCAGCCACACUGGGACUGAGACACGGCCCAGACUCCUACGGGAGGCAGCAGUGGGGAAUUUUCCGCAAUGGGCGAAAGCCUGACGGAGCAAUGCCGCGUGGAGGUGGAAGGCCUACGGGUCGUCAACUUCUUUUCUCGGAGAAGAAACAAUGACGGUAUCUGAGGAAUAAGCAUCGGCUAACUCUGU